UACGAAGGGGGCUAGCGUUGCUCGGAAUCACUGGGCGUAAAGGGUGCGUAGGCGGGUCUUUAAGUCAGGGGUGAAAUCCUGGAGCUCAACUCCAGAACUGCCUUUGGUACUGAAGAUCUUGAGUCCGGGAGAGGUGAGUGGAACUGCGAGUGUAGAGGUGAAAUUCGUAGAUAUUCGCAAGAACACCAGUGGCGAAGGCGGCUCACUGGCCCGAUACUGACGCUGAGGCACGAAAGCGUGGGGAGCAAACAGG
rnacentral:rRNA from 1 species